rnacentral:rRNA from 1 species
UACGUAGGGUGCAAGCGUUAAUCGGAAUUACUGGGCGUAAAGCGUGCGCAGGCGGCUAUGUAAGACAGGGGUGAAAUCCCCGGGCUUAACCUGGGAACUGCAUUUGUGACUGCAUCGCUGGAGUGCGGCAGAGGGGGAUGGAAUUCCGCGUGUAGCAGUGAAAUGCGUAGAUAUGCGGAGGAACACCGAUGGCGAAGGCAAUCCCCUGGGCCUGCACUGACGCUCAUGCACGAAAGCGUGGGGAGCAAACAGG